rnacentral:rRNA from 1 species
AUACGAAGGCGGCUAGCGUUGUUCGGAAUCACUGGGCGUAAAGCGCGCGUAGGUGGAUCAAUUAGUUGAGGGUGAAAUCCCGGGGCUCAACCUCGGAACCGCCUUCAAUACUGUUGAUCUUGAGACCGAGAGAGGUGAGUGGAAUUCCUAGUGUAGAGGUGAAAUUCGUAGAUAUUAGGAAGAACACCAGCGGCGAAGGCGGCUCACUGGCUCGGUACUGACGCUGAGGUGCGAAAGCGUGGGGAGCAAACAGGAUUAGAAACCCUAGUAGUCC